rnacentral:rRNA from 1 species
GACGAACGCUGGCGGCGUGCCUAAUACAUGCAAGUCGAGCGCGGGAAGCAAGCUGAUCCCUUCGGGGUGAAACUUGUGGAACGAGCGGCGGACGGGUGAGUAACACGUGGGCAACCUGCCUGCAGGAUCGGGAUAACUCCGGGAAACCGGAGCUAAUACCGGAUAAUACUUUUUGCUUCAUGGCAGAAAGAUGAAAGGCGGUUUCGGCUGCCACCUGCAGAUGGGCCCGCGGUGCAUUAGCUAGUUGGUAGGGUAACGGCCUACCAAGGCAACGAUGCAUAGCCGACCUGAGAGGGUGAUCGGCCACACUGGGACUGAGACACGGCCCAGACUCCUACGGGAGGCAGCAGUAGGGAAUCUUCCGCAAUGGACGAAAGUCUGACGGAGCAACGCCGCGUGAGUGAUGAAGGUUUUCGGAUCGUAAAACUCUGUUGUAAGGGAAGAACAAGUACGAUAGUAACUGAUCGUACCUUGACGGUACCUUACCAGAAAGCCACGGCUAACUACGUGCCAGCAGCCGCCGUAAAAC